AGCCCAGAGCCUGAAUCAGUGUGUGUGUUAGUGGAAGCGUCUGGAAAGGCGCGCGAUACAGGGUGACAGCCCCGUACACAAAAAUGCACAUGCUGUGAGCUCGAUGAGUAGGGCGGGACACGUGGUAUCCUGUCUGAAUAUGGGGGGACCAUCCUCCAAGGCUAAAUACUCCUGACUGACCGAUAGUGAACCAGUACCGUGAGGGAAAGGCGAAAAGAACCCCGGCGAGGGGAGUGAAAAAGAACCUGAAACCGUGUACGUACAAGCAGUGGGAGCACAGAGCAAUCUGUGUGACUGCGUACCUUUUGUAUAAUGGGUCAGCGACUUAUAUUCUGUAGCAAGGUUAACCGAAUAGGGGAGCC
rnacentral:rRNA from 2 species